GAGAUCCAGCCCAGGCCGAUGGCCAUGGCGCGGCGGCACCCCUCCGGCCGGAUCCGCGCGGGCCCAGGCGUGCGAGCGGCCUCCUCUCUCCGCGCGGGCCCACGCGUGCGAGCGGCCUCCUCCCUCCGCGCGGCCUCGACGGCGGGACGGACCGGCGCGGGGCAGCUCGGGGCCUCGAGCUCGCCGGCCUGGAGCACCCACACAGCGGUGGUGCAGGAGGGGCGGCGCGGCGUGGGGUGCGGGUGGGGCGGCGCGGUGGAUUUAUCUAGCCAUGUGAUUUCUGUACUUCCAGGGAUUCCACGACUUCCUCCAGGAGAUGAUCUCGCUCAUGGCCACCAUCGGUAGAGAGGAGCGCGUGUACAGCCUGGGCGAGCUCCUUUCGCAAGCCAGCGCUGGCACCCCGUCCUCGCCGCCGUCGCUGCCCUGCCAGGGCCGUCCGGCAGCCUCAGCGCCCUUGUCUCCCUUCGUAGGUUCGUACAAACCUCCUCCUCUCACCAAUUACCGCUAUUCCCAUUUCUUCCCUCUUUCUGCAAUGGAAUCCGAGGUACCCCUCUCUCUAGGAAAUCCAAUGGUAUUCCAGCAAAAUUUCUUUUUAAGCACUGAAAGGGAUUUUACAGAUCCUCUGCCGCAAAUUUGUUGUUUCCCCCACUUAUGUGGCUGACUGCAUAAAUAUAGAAGUUUUUGGCAUCCCCGACCUCGAUCUGUUAUUACUGCCAUUAAAAGAAGAAUGCUAAAUUUCAUUUCCCAGCUUAUGCAAAGGUAUGUUAUGCUUCUUUCAUUUCCCAUAGUCUACCAUCUCUUCGAUCUUUCCAAAGAAACCAGAAAGCGCAAGCACAUGAAAAUGAAAUCCAGGAGCUUCAAUCGGCUGCAGAGAAGCUAAAUUUUUCUACUAAUUUGAUUCGCAUUAUGUAGACAAUGCCAUGUGAUUGCAUUAAUAGCUUAUUAUGCCUUUUUCUUUGGUGGGUUUAUUCUAAAAUUGGGUUUGUUAUUUUAAUUGAAUAUAGGAUUCUACAGCUUAUCCAUACGAUACUUUGCUCAUAACUUAGCCUUUCAUAUUAACAUGUGGAGGAUUUAAAGUAGUAUUGCAGGUCAUGAUUUGUUAAUGGUCGAGCCCCUUCAAAAUCUGACGAAAGGGACCUGCACAAACUUCAAUAAAUAAACUGUGUAUUUUUUCCUUCACAGAAAUCCAUUUCCCAACACUAAUUACUUUCCUCAAUCAGGCCAAAACCCCUGCUCAACUUCACAACAACAAAGAAGGUGGUGUAUGCAAGGUGAACAAAGAAACUGGAUAUAAUCUUUGUGUUCAGACUUCGUCGUGUGCUCCGAUGAUUAGCGGACCUUUACCUCACCAAGCUACAUCUGUAGCUACUAUCACAGCAGGCCAACAGCCAGGUCUGCCCAUCCCACAGCUCAUCAACAGAAUUGGAAGAAACCGAGCUACUGAGCUAUCCCUAACCAUAACUGCAGAAGACAACUCCCAGUUGCCUCUUGGAACUACUGAACAAGUUGAAGAAACAGCUGGCUUUACUGCUCCAGUCAUGUUUCAGCUCCCUUCCCUUGAGAUGACAAUCCCAUUGGUGGACACUUUCCUCGCUUUGUCAGUUCAGAUCCCGUUCAGUUAUAUACCCGUGGAGAAAUGUCGUCUUUAUCCUUUGUCUACCCAAAACAGAAACAAGUUUGAAGGAAAGAGCGUCCAAGACCUUGAUGCUUCAAUUGAUUCCCCCUGUCGUACUAACAGUAAUCCAAACAAUUGAAGCUGUUGUGUUCCUAGCUGGACACUACCUGGUGAUUCUAUGCCUGUUCCUUCGAAAAUUCUUUGCAAACUAUUAAACCAAGGAUCCUUUGUAGAUUGCAGAAUAGCUUGCUCCAAUGGUACCUCUCUAACACCAGAAAAGAACACAAAAAUUGAUCUUCUUUAUGCUACCUAAACUAACAUCUUAUAUUUAGAACAUCAUUUUUAUGCAGGAUGAAACAGGAUGACAAGAGCAAUCAUCUGUGGAAUCAGAUUUCGUCCAUUUUAAAAUGCCCUCUUGGACCGCAUAUUGAGCAACUUAGCUUACCAUGUAACCAACAUUUCCUUUAGUAUGCCAUGCUGAUGCUAAACAUGGUUACCAGCUGCCAUGACUUCUAUUUAUUUGCACCUUUAACUUCCUAGACCUUGUACUAUAUGCAACCUUGGUUCCUAAUGUAUCUUCUUGUUGUAUUACCUGUGUGAUUUAUGUCAUUUACAGUAAAUGAGCUGAUGAACCUUAUGUACCAGUUCUCGGCUAUCAGCGAACCAACAUAUCAACUCCUGAAUUUAUAUUCUA